GUUCCCUCAGUGGAGGAGGCGAGCUGAUUGGGUCAGCUGGGAGCUAAGUGAGGUCACAGGGAGGGGCCCCUACCCUGUAUAAUUGUAUCUUUAUAAGGAGUGAAAGAGACACCAUCUACGGCUUCGCUCCUGGGGAGCCAGAAGCAUGGAAUCAGAUGCCAAGAGGAUUAGGCCACCAACUUUGGCGUGUGCUCUUCGGGCCUGCCGUCUAACAGAAUGAGGGUUCCAGCGGUGUUCGCAUCAUCAGACGUCUAGUGUUCUGCACAUAAAACAAGCUCUUGAGGUCAGGAGACAACAUGCAAUCUAGCAGGCAGGUAGCUCGUGAAGCGUCUCAUCUCCCAGCAUAACAAGUGCUUCUCCAUCCAUAUGUACAGAAUUCCACUCUCCAGGUGGGAACGUUGUGAUGGAAUACGCUCUGAGAGAUAGAGGAGGCGACUUCUGCCAGGAGUGAUCAGGAGGACUUCUUGGAGGAGGCAGCACUUGAGCUGGUCUUGAAAGAUGAUGAGAUUUUAAUGGGAAAAGAGAUGAUCGAGAAGAACCUUCUAGCAGGAGGGAGCUGCCCUAGCAAAGACAGGAAGGCUGGAAAAUGCGAGAAGUGGGACAGGAAGAUCAACACAGGACCUCUCCCUUCUGAGCCAAACUGACACCUACCUCUUGCCAUGACAGGCCGCUCUUCUGGAGAUUAUAAACUAUUUAUUUUUAACAGAGAAACUGCCUUAGUUGGAGUUCUGGCUCUGCCACUUACUUAGGUAAGAAAGAACUUCUUGGGCCUCAGGCCCUCACCUGUAAAAGGGGCUGAAUAAUAGGAUUGUGCCUCUCUCCAAUGGGCUGUUAGAGGUUGGACUGCAUGCCCCCAAUACUCUUAUGCUGAGGCCUAACCCGGUGUGACUGCACAUGGAGACAGGGUGUGUAGGGAGGGGAUGAAGCUUAAGUGAGGCCACAGGGGAGGCCCAACCCUGUAGAGUCGUGUCUUUAUAAGGAGUGAAAGAGACACCAUUGCUUGCUUCUCUCCUGUGGGCAGAGGAAAGGCCAGGUGAGGACACAGGCAGGAGGUGCCCCCGCAGCCUCAGGCAGAGCCCUCACCACGCCAGCCCUGCUGACGCCUUGAUCUUGGACUCCCAGGCGUCUGCUGCAUAAGCCACCCCGUCCGACGUACUUUCCCAUGGCAGCUUGAGCAGAAUGAGACUGGGGCUUUGGAAGAAGGAACUUCACAUGACCUCUAAUUACUACUGCGUUCUUAUGAGGAGUGCCUUGUGCUUUGCAGCAUCUAACGUCUUGGUAGUGACCUGCCAGUGCCUGUCCAACCUGUCAGCAGAUCACGGUCGCGAACCCUGGGAGAGAGCUGACAACACGUUUCCCGUGUGAGACUCUGUGUCUCCCGAGAAGCAGACACCAAGACAGGAUGAGAGAUGCACAGAUUUUAUUGGGAAAAACACCUGCAGGAGAAAACGGUCAUCAGAGCCUGAACAAGUCCUCCCGCAAUGACCUACCAGGUGGUGCCAGGCCUGUAGCAGGUACCCUGGAUCGGAUCGGCUGCUCUGCUCCACGAGGCUCCCAGCACCAUCUCAGCAGGUCGGCGCUGCCUCAGGUCUGAAAUGAUGUCUUCUCUUUCCUGUUUUCUGAGCAGCUCAUUCUGCUGCCCGUCAAAUAGGCCCUUUCCCCAGGACCCUUGGGGUCCAGCUGAGUGGAGCAGCCUCCCACACUGGAAGCCUUGAGUUUUCCCCACCUGGGCCUUUCUCUCUGUCCCUGACAUCCGGUUGGUCACCAGAUCCUGGCAGUUGAAAGUCAUUCUCAAGUCCAGCCCCACCACUGCACCUCGGUCCAUGCUCCUGGACACCAGUCUCUCACCGAGCGCUAUGCGUGGCUUGCGUCUGCGGCUGAGAAAUCCUUUCAAACGCACGCCUUCCCUAUUAUAUCCAGCAUAGGAUCUGACCCGGCAGGACCUCAGUAAAGACUUGUGGCUGCUUUAAGAGUGGGCACCUGCCGUCACAUUUUCCUCAGCAUUUUCCCUAUGCUGCUGGCGCAUUGGGUAGCUCUACUCAACCCAUGACGGAUUGCAGAUCUUUUGGCCGCUGCAUUCACAAAUUUGUCCCGAGCCGCUCCAUGGAAGGCAUCCCAGAAGCCUAUCAAUCUUCCCAUGAGUGUUCAAGAUUCCCAAAUCCCCAAAAGGCCCUAAUACCAUCUCUGUGUGAGCAGCUGCCCAUGUGUUGGGGAGUGCCCUGCCUGAGGCAGAGGGCGCACUGCAUCUGUUUGGAGGUGGGUGAGCCUCACGUGUUCUGCACAGGGCAUGAGGUAGGCAUUGGAGAGCAGCCCUGGCCCCCCCACCCAGGGGACAGUAGGUGGGGUUCUAAAUUAUGAGUCAUUAAUCAGCUCUUCAUAUGUCUGAAUUAUUCAUAAAGUAAGUGCUUGUGGUUUGGAUGCUAGUCUAUGAAUAUAUAGGCAAAUUAUUUAUUAUGGCAUUUACAUGGAUUUUGCAAAAAAGUUUUCCAGAAACCCUUUAGGUUCAGUGGUUGAAUUUAACAAAUAUUUCCUGUGCACCUACUCUAUGACAGAAAUUGUGAUUGGCGUUAAAGACAUAAAGAUGAAUAGGAUAAUAAGCACCUGCCUUCAGUGUGCUCUGGGUUAGCAGGGAGAACACACAAUCCAGCUGGUCCACAGAGGCUGACUUAUUAACAACAUUUAUCACAGCAUGUGGGAAAUAUGAGCUAACUGUAUUUCAGAUAGUAACAUGACCACGCCAAAACCAAACCAAAUCAAAACAAGGCAAGAAACCAAACCAACAAACCAACCCCACCACCACAACAGAAACUAACCCAAGUAACAUUGAACACGGAACCUUGACCUAUAACCCUUGUCCUGCAGACAAAAUACCUGCAAACAAAUAUUGAACUUGACUUGUGGGUUUGCUUUCACUGUGGUGCAAGGUAGCAAUUCUGUAAUGAUUUUCUGUCUUGUAGGGUUGAGCAAAUACAAGAUUCCACCAGUGCUGUUGGAAGCCAGCGUUCUUGUUUUUGGAAAGGGGACAUUUUCUUUCUUUCUCUUAUUUUUUUCCCUCCCUCCCUCCCUCCCUCCCUCCCUCCCUCCCUUCCUUCCUUUCCGUCAAAGCACUUACAAUCUUCUCACAUACUAUACAAUUUACUUAUUUAUUGUGUUCCCCAUUUGGUGUCUGUCUUCCCCCCGGGGGCAGGGCUCUUUGCUGCUUCAUCCAAUAUGUGUUCACGAUCUGAGUGCCUGCAAUAGUAGGCAUGUGCUUAUCUAGUGAAUGAUGGGCAAUGGUGGUGGAGAUGCAGAUUAGGACCAGGUCAUGGGGAGUACUGGAUUACGAAAGUGAACACAUUUGGAUUUCAGCCUGUUGGAAAAUGAGAUGAUGCUGGAAGUGGUGAAGGGGCUGCAACAUGAUGAGAG
rnacentral:lncRNA from 1 species